UUAUAUAUCACUACAUCACAGAAACAACUGAAACAAAGAUCUAAAAGCAGUUUAGCAGCAAACUUUGUGAAAACUAAUAUUUGUGUCAUUCUCAAAAUUUUUGCCCACGACUGUACAUCUGCAUUACCUCAAAG